rnacentral:rRNA from 1 species
AUGUUACAGCAUGGACUCAACGGUAGCAGGAUUAUAGUAACUACCCGAAACCUACGAAUAGUGCAACAAUUGCGCACUGGUUUUCUUGCAAAUGCGAGGAAAAUUCCCCCAGUUCCCGAGUCUGAAACAGUAGAGUUGGGUGUUUUAGAACCUGGUGAGUGCUGGGAAUUAAUGAAGCAAAGAGCAUUUGGGCCUGAUGAUGACCACAGUAGUGGCUUGGAAGAAAUCGGAAAGCAGAUUGCAGACAAUUGUGGGGGUUUACCGCUCGUGGCAAAUGCUCUUGGGCAAGUAAUGUCAGAGCUAAGGACCGCGGGAGCAUGGGAACAUAUAAGAGACACAAAGGAUGAGUUCUCGACCGAGGCCCGGUCCUAG